rnacentral:lncRNA from 1 species
UGGGGCAGGCCCGGGAAGAGGAGGGGACACACAGGCCCUGUCCUCUGGGCCACCUCACACUGUACGGAAGUGCCAUUCUAAGCCAGAAAAUGCAGAGUGUCCGAUUCAAGACGAGGCAAAGGANCUGCACCUGGCCGGGCACCGCUGGGUGGAGGUGGGCUGGGCGGCCUCCCUGUCCCCGGCCUGGGGAACGGCACAGGAACUCAGCCAAACACUGACGGCCAGCUAGCCAGGGACGGACAGGUAGCUGCCUCCCAGAUCAGCUCCGCCGGAGGACAGGCCCGGCUGCCAGGCCAGUCUCACUCUGCCUCUUCUUCAUGACCUUGGCUGGGGAACCCCUCCAGCCUCAGUUUCCUCAUCUGAGCCUCGACGGCGGAGCUGAUGCUGAUGACCCUUCGUGGUGAGGAUGCCUGGCUGGGCCCUGGGGAAGCCUCUGGUGUGGGGAAUCACCUGGGGUGGCCGCCGGGCAGCCCGGGAGGGGAAGCUAAUGCUCCUGAGUUGUCAUAACAGGGCGGCCUCCGGGCUCCUCCUGUUUACCGAGGCUGAGUAAAUACAGCCGGGCCCCUGGCAACCGGCACAAAGGGGCCCUUGUGCCGGGCUCCCUGGGCUCCCGCCCCAGUGCAGCCCCAGCUGGGAGCUCCAGGAGCCGCAGGGCGCCUGGCCAUGGCCCCUGGGGGGGGCUCGAGAGGCUGCUGAGCUGGCUGCAGGUUGUCUUGGGGAGCCCGGCCCCCGACAGGCAGGAAACAGCCCCAUUCUUCAGAUCAGUAAAUCGAGGCUCGGAGAGGGCCCUGAUUCGGCUUGUCAAUCAGAGACAAAGGUGCGCCUGGCUGGGCGGUGGGGCCCUGGUCAGCCCUGGCUGGGGGGCCGUGUCAAGGCCGAGUCCUGGGUUCUUCAUUUGUGGUCGGCGCUAAUGCUCCCGGCGGGGCUCCGCUGGGCCUCCAGUGUUCUAGAACAGACGAAGGCCUUCAUUCUGGAAGCCCUGAGCAGACGGAGGGGAGUGUUAUUUGGGGCCUAGGGACAGACCAGAAGGUGAGAGUCCCGGGCAACGAGGCCUGCCCCUGCCCAGCACGGGCAGCUUGCAGAGCCACGUUGGAACCCGAGGUGGCACCUCCCUGAGCCCCAGCUACUGCGCCUUCCCUGGGGCAGGCCCGGGAAGAGGAGGGGACACACAGGCCCUGUCCUCUGGGCCACCUCACACUGUACGGAAGUGCCAUUCUAAGCCAGAAAAUGCAGAGUGUCCGAUUCAAGACUAGGCAAAGGACUGGGGGUGUGGCUCAGGGGCCCAGCAGCUGGCCCAGCCUGGAGCCCUGGUUCCAUCCCAGCACCUCCCAGCACCGCUGGGGUCAAUCAGCAAAUAAAGUAAGAGCAGCAGGGAGGACGUGUGUCCCCCACUGGAUGAGCAAGGUCAGACCUCCUCCCAGCAUAAGCUCCUCCCUCGCUCCGCGUCUGUAAGAUGGCCCCUGGUGUUUGGGGGAGGCUCUGAAGGGCUGGAGGAGCGCAGGACGCAGCACAGCAGCCCAACACCCACCGGCUGCUUCUAGACAGAACUGGCCUCGCCUUCCUAAGGCCAUUUGGAGACUCCCAUCUCGGUUUCAGCCCAGAAACUCCAGAUCUGAGGAGGUAAGACACAGGGGCAUCUUGUCCUUCGCUCAGACAAAAAGUGGGAAUGUUCUGGAAGCCCACUAGGGAGGCAGCAAUGACGAGAUCGGGGCUGUCCCCGCUGCGUGGUGCCUCCCAGCGGCUCGGCCCCGCAGGUGGAGAUUUUGCCCGUCGAGGACAGUUGGGCCUGCCCCUCGGUUGGGUGGACAGCCGCCAGGCCCAGGGGGCCCAUUUCUGUGGCAUGGGAGGCCCAGAUCCGCUGGUGGCGUCUGUGCUGAGACGUGGUGAGGACGUCCCCAGCGCUUCCCCUCAGCGGGGACCUGAGGGCAGCCUCCCUUCCCUCCUCUCCCCUCAACUCUAAGCUGCGAAACUGAGAAUAAAACAGCGUCAAGACUUUUUAAAGCAUUUUCUUUUGUUUAAAGUUCAAACACAAUACAUGCUGGUGGGCAGCACGGGGUCCAGGUUUCUGGGUCUGGGAACAGGACGGGCCGGGAGCAGGAAGGAGCUGCGGGUCUCCACAGAGGGACAUCAGCAGGCGCAGGACACAGGAGAGGUCCUGGGCUUGGGGCACUGGCGGGGACAGUGGGAAGCAGGCUGAAGCAAGGCACGUGGUUAGAAGGCCAGGUGGGGGGUGGGCUGGUCCCCUGGGCCUUCUAGGGCCGCCCAAUUCACCAUCACGGGACCUAAGCAGAUGGCAUCACGUCAGGAAGGGGGCUCUCUGCUCCCAUCCCUGGGCUCUGGCCACCCCCGUCACUGCCAGGGACUGAGCAGUGACCAGGCGGGGCAGAAGCCAGCUCCCAGCAGCACGCGGUGGUCUAGUGCUGCACCACGGCACAUGUAGGGGGCUGAGGGAUGUCCCUACACCCCUGGCCUCUACCCACCCGAUGCCGGUAGUGGGCCCUGCCAGGGUGACAGCCAGAAAUGCCCCAGACAUUGCUAAAGGACCCCUGAGGGACAAAGUCUUCCCCACUUUGAAACCUCAGCUCCACGGUGACCUGCGUGGCCCUCAGCCCCUUUCCAGGGUGAGGUCCCUGUGGCCCCUUCACCCAGCACCAGCCCAGCACGCGGGGCACCCUGAGAUGUCAGUAGCAGCUGCAGGGGGCUAGGCCGGGCCUGCCUGCAGGGAGGGGGUCACCCAGGCCUGUCCCUGUGACCAGCCGCCCAGAGCCAAGGAGAUGAGGGGAAGCCCUGGCGCCCACCCCUCCCAGCUCUCAGCUCCAGGUGGCCGUGACCAAGACCCACCCUUGGUGGCCUUGCCAACAUGGCUGCUCUCCCCACCGUGCACAGAAGCUAGUGGGGGGUGGGGGGUGGGGUGGGGGGCUGCCUUCACAGCAGUGACCAGGGUCCUGGUGCCUGGGGGUGUGUACGUGGGGGCACAGCCAGGAAAGCUGCCCUCCGACACCGCGGAGCGUCAGCACCAGGCCUCUCUGGGGCGGGUUGGCUACCUCUAGAGGCACAGCUGCCCGGGAAUCUGGGUCCCUAUCCCCUCCCCAUGGAGGUCAAACCCUGUGCCUUUUGUGCACCCUGUCCUCACACUGCCCCCUGGAGGAGGGACUGGGGACGGAGCUCAUGGGCACCAAUGAUAGUGUGGCUCUUCCCCUGGCCAGCAGUCCAGUUUCUGUUCAAGGCGACAAGGGACAAACCUUGCCUAAUUGGCAAUUGCUUCUUUCUCUUACCACGCUGUGCCCCUUUGCUAGAUCCUUUCUUUCCCAGCCUCCUCUGCAGCUAGGAUCAGCCAUUGACCCAGUUAGGGAAAAUGAAAUGUAAGGGAAAAUCUGUGGGGAGCCUUCUGGGAGAGUUCUGCAUCUUCAUAAAAGGAAUGGGUGUGACAGGGAACUUUUCUCAGGUUGCUCUUCCCUUUUUUACAUGCUGGAAUGCAGACAUGAUGUCUGGUGCUGCAGCAGCCAUCUUGCAACCAUGCGAAUCUUAUUUAAUACUAAAGAUGAUGGGCAGAGAGAAUGAAAUAACUUGGGUCCUCGGUGACCACACCAAGCUUCCAAAUCAUCUUGAGACUGCCUAUGCCCAGGGUCCUAGCAGGUAAAUAAUGACUGUCUUUAUGGCUUAGUUAUAUUCUAUUAUUAUCAGUCGAACACACCAGAGAGACACUGAGGUGUGAUGAGCUUCCUGUGAGCAGAGGCACAGCACCAAGGGUCUCAGCCUUGGUGACCCUCGGCGGUUGCUGAAGAGUAGCAGAGGCCUUCACUCAUGGGCUGGCCUGGGGCUCUGCUCAGUAUAGAACAUGCCACUCGCCCUAGGAGAAAAGGAGGCCCCAUGUGUUAGUGUCCCCCACCAUCUGCAGCCCAUCUGCAGGGACAGAGUGUGGGAACGGAGCACCCUGCUCUAGGCCUCUCUGCUUGGCUCCAGGGAGGGGCGAGCUGUCCAGGACCCUCGGGUGUUCCACCUGACCCUAGGCAGAAGCCAGCUCCCAGAGGGCGUGCAGAGGAGGGUGAGAGGAGGUGGGUGCCUGUAGGUCCAGAGGGUCCUUUCUGGUCCCUGGGGAGCCCCGCUAAUGUGGGCGAUAAUUUCCACAAUCCUCACAGGGCUCUAUCCCUUUACAGGUUUUUUUUUUUUGGGGGGGAGGUAUGGGGGUUGAACCCAGGGUGCUUAACCCCUGAGCCACAUCCCCAGCCCUUUUAAAAUAUUUUAUUAGAGACAGAGUCUCGCUGAGUUGCUUAGGGCCUCACUAAGUUGCUGAGGCUGACUUUGAACUCGAGAUCCUCCUGCCUCAGCCUCCCCAGCCACUGGGACCACAGGUGUCACCACACCCGGCCACUCUUUACAGUUUUCAAGGCCGUCCACAGGCUCCAGCAGCUGGCCGGGCCCGGUGGAAGGAGUGAUGGGCGCCAAUCCUCAGGUGGGGAAAGGGAGAAGCCCCACGGGGCGCCCUGCAGCAGGCUGGGGACCCGGCCCAGGGAGCGGCAGGGUGAGAGGCUGCUGCUGGGUCACCCUGCACUCCAGCUUUCAGUCAGGUGGCUUUCAGUCCAGGGCAGAGGAAGUGUCCCCGUGGCCCCAGCCCUUGGCCCCAGCCCUUGGCCCCUGCCCAGCCGAGCUUCCCCUUCCUGAGCCCGCGGCCAGGACAGCCCGGCCGCCGAAGCCCUUCCUUAGUGGCCCCGGCUACCUUUAGACAAUUGUGCUGAAAACCUCAAAGCACAGGGGACACCAUGAGGCUCGUUGUCGUCGUGGUUUUCCACUUAGAAGGCAGCGGGGGUAAUGAGCGGAGCCCCCUCUCGCCCCUGGGGGAGCCUCCCUCAGUCUGUCCCUGCAGCUGCGGUGGCCUGGGCCUGUGGCUGCCCAGCGUAGGGUCCAGGGGCCCAGGGUACAGCCGGGGCACCUCCACCCCUGCCAGCCGGAGCUCCCCACAUACAGGUGGGGACCCCGAGGCCUUCUGCCCAUCCCAGGCCUCGCCUCAAACACACGCACGUAACCCGCAGGCACAGCGACACGUCUGCACCCACGAGGCCAUCGCUAUCCCUGAGACGCUGAGCACAGCCAUCAUUCCUCUGCCGCCCCUCAACGGCUCCUCUGUCCCCCAGCCCCGGCAACCCUCCUCUGCCGUCGCUGGGGAUGAGGUCACAGCUCCUGAGCGUCUCCAUCUCCCUGGAGAGGCGUCUGUGACUGUCACCCUUGUCUGAGGUCCGCCCACGUCCUUGCUGCACCAGAGGUCCACCCUUCCCGGGUGAGGGGCACCCCUCUGUCUGGUCCUUUGUUCCUGGUUGGGGGUGGCCCUGCUAUGGACACAGAUUCCUUCUCUCGGGGAUUCGUGUCUGACUUUCUAAGAGACCGACAAGCUCCUCCAGGGUGGCCGCACUGGGGUCAGUCCCCAGGACAGGUGUGCGGACUCCGGGGGCCCCGCCCGUGCUGGUCAUUCUGCCUGGUUGGACCAGGGCCGUGAGGGGCAUCGCUCUGUGGUUUGAAUGCAUUUCCCUUGUGACCGAUGAUGCUGGACGUUCUGUCAUGGACUCGGUGACCCAGAUCUCACAUUUCAAACUGAACUUGGAAUUUUGGAAUAAUUUCAAACUUUCUAGAAAGUUGUAGAGAUUCUAGUUCCCACAGACCCCUCCUUCAGUCCCCCUGAUAUUAGCCCCUUUAUCACAGAGGACUUUUGUCACCACGAAGGAACCCACCAUGUUCAUUACUAUUAGCUAGACUCCAGGUGUCCCUCUGGGGUCUCCAGGGUGUGAAGCUGAGGUGACCACCGCCCCCCUGCACGCUGCAUUGAGUUCUCAGAGUCCCCUGGUCAGUGCCAGUUCUUCGACUUCCCCCUGUUUUGGGGAGUAUUGGUCACAUAUUUUAUUUUAUCAUUUUAUUUUGCAACAGAGUCUUGCUAAGUUGCUGAGGCUGGCCUGGAACUUGCGAUCCCCCUGCCUCAGCCUCCCAAGUAGCUGGGAUUAGAGGCGUGAGCCGCUGCGCCCAACUCGGAUAUUUUGUCGUCAGUUCCUAGAUCUGGGUGGUUCGCUCUUCUCUCUGAUUGACAGGGGCUGUCACUGCGGCCAAACGCCCUGCUGUCGUGGCUCAUCAGGACCCAUGCCCCCAGCGCUGACCUCCAGCCUUGGUUCCCCUGGAGGGUCACAGGUCCCCUUCCACUCCCUUCUCUUUGGCUGUGAGUCACUAGAUCCAGCCGAGCCGAGCCCCGGAGAGGACGCUCUCGGAGCCUCCCUUUCUUCAAGAACCUUCUGCUGCAGACACUUUAGUAGACGUUUCACUUGAUUCCCGCCCCCCGCCCCCGCCACUGUCCAUCCCGGAAGAGCUCCCAAAUCUCUGCACUUGGCAAAGUCACAGCUGCAGCGGGUCCCCGGGAGCUUGGUCCAGCGCUUUCUCACACCUUCCACAGGUGGGGGGUCGGAGCCUGGCAGGCCACUCACUUCUGUCCUGGCCGGGAGGCAGUGCCCAGAGGCCUUCACCGGUUGAGGAGGGGACAAUGAGACAGCCCUGCGGGUCACCUGCUGCCUGCUGCUACCUGCACACCAGGCCCAGGCUCCCUGCCGUUGUCCUCCCCCCAUCCCCAGGCAGGGAACACGCCACACCCUGCAGGUCAGAGCCCAGAGGGGCAGGACAGUCUGACUCCUAACAAGGACAUGAGAAGUGCCAACAGAUCUUGCUGUCUCUGCAGGGAGGCCGGGACGGCCGAGGAACCAGAUGGGUCCUGGUGGAAGCAGGGUGGACUCCGGUGAGUGACCUCAUCACGGAGCCUCGGUUUUCCCGUCUGUAAAGUGGGGGUAGUCGUCUCAUCUCCCUUUUGUACCGUCUUCAAUUUCUUUGAUACACUUCAGCAAGGACAUGGCCACGUUGAGAGGAGGGACCUUCAGGAGAUGGCCCUGCGUGGUGCCCUUGUCAGGGGUGGGUCCCUCGGCUCCCUCGUCCUCUGCCCCUCUCCUGCUUCCCACCGUGGAGUGACGUGGCCGUCUCCAGACGCAGUGCCCCUCCCGCCACCCCAGCCCCAGAACCGUGAGCACCACAGGUCUGUCUGACGUCAUAGACCACCCUGGUGUGCUGUUAGGGCAGCGCAAAAUGGCAGAUGGCAGCGAUGCCCAGGGCUCUAACGUGCCUGGGUGCCAGAGAGCUGAGACCCUGGCCGGCCCGAGUGCGGGGCUGCCCCUGCGCCCGCUGGCUAAGGGUCGACCCGUCGGGGCUUCUGGCACUGGGCGCCGUCUGGCAGGUGGGCUUCUCUGGGGGCGCGGCCCCCACUGCUGGGCACAGAGCACAGGGCGGGUUCUAGCACUUCCUCCCUCCAGCCUGGCGCCGGUCAGCCAGCAGAUGACGUCACAGAGCCGUGGGGGUCAAAUGACGUAGGCACAAACAUGAGCAAGUGAACUAACGUUCCUCCUGGAAGUCCAUCCUGAGACGGGUGACUGGAGAUGCCAGGAGGGCAGCUCAGAGUGUGGCUCCUGGAGUCGGGUAACCUGGGGGCGAAUCCUACUAUAGUCAUGUCCAGCCUUGGGCAGGCACCUUCACCUUUGAGGAAUCCUGGAUUUCUCACCUGCACCUGCAUCUGCAAGGACAUUGAUGCCAUGAGGACUAGAGAAGUCAGGAUGUGUAGAACACUGUGCAAAAACUGCCUGGUGCAUAAUAAAUGCUCAAUAAAAUGCGAGCUAGCACAGAUCACCCCAGUGCCCGCGGUGUGAUGAGGUGAGGCAAGUUGGGGGGCUGGCGGUUGUUUGGGUUAAGCGAUCAGCAGCGUGGGUGAUGGGGGUUGUGCUGUCUUCAGAUUGCCCAGAAGAGUUUUAGUGUUCUUGACAGCUGCCCUUCUGACUGGGGGGAGGUGAAACCUUAGAGUGGUUUUGAUUUGCAUUUUUCUGAUUGCUAGAGAUGAUGAACAUUUUUCCCUAUAUUUUUUGAUCGCAUGUAUAUCUUCUUCUGAGAAGUGUGUGUUCAGCUCCUUGGCCCAUUUAUUGAUUGGGUUAUUUGUUUUUUUGGUGUUAAGUUUUUUGAGUUCUUUAUGUAUCCUGGAGAUUAGUGCUCUAUCUGACAUGCGUGUGACAAAAAUUUGCUCCCCAAAUGUAGGCUCUCUUUCACCUCAUUGAUUGUUUCUUUUUUUUUUAACUUUAGCCAAAAACCCUUUUAAUUAUAAGACAAAAAAAGAACUUAUCAUGACCUACUAUUCAUAUAUAUUGUGAAAUUAUGAUAUUACAAUAAUCAUCAAGGAAUCACGAUAUAAAUAAAAUCCCCAUAUGAAUACAUAUGUAUGUAAAAACUGUAUGCUUUAUUGCAAUAGCAAAGUCUAGAUAAAUCAAACCAUAACAAAAAUAAUCUCAGCAACUUAGCUAGGACCUUUCUCAAAAUACAUUUAGACCUACUGUUAGGGCUGUUUACCGGUGAUGAGUCCUUGCUUCCCCAAUGCUGAAGUAUAACACCAGAGAAGCACGCCGAGGCAAGUUUAGAGUGGAGAGUAGAAGCUUUAUUAAAGGACAGCAGAAAAGACUUCUCCCCAGAGGAAGAAGGGGACCCAAGAGGUGGGAUUUAUGGAAGGGUGAGAUCUUCCCUUUUUUUUUUUUUAACAUUUGAAUCAUUGGGGCAUAAUCUCUCAUUUUUCUAAUUGUACAGAUUGCAGAAUCACACUGGUCAUAGGAUUGUUUCUUUUUCUGAGAAGAAGCUUUUUAGUUUGAGUCCAUCCUAUUUAUUAAUUCUUGAUUUUAUUUCUUACUUUAGGAGUCUUGCUAAGGAAGUUGGGGCCAGUUGGGUGGCAGCUAUGAAGAAUAUAGACGACAAUCCAUAUUAGCAAGGAUGUGGGGGAAAGGCACUCUCAUAUGCUGCUGGUGGGCCUGCAAAUUGGUGCAGCCAAUAUGGAAAGCAGUAUGGAGAUUCCUUGGAAAACUUGGAAUGGAACCACCAUUUGACCCAGCUAUCUCUCUCCUCAGUCUCUACCCAAAGGACUUACAAACAGCAUACUACAGGGACACAGCCACAUCGAUGUUUACAGAGCUCAAUUAACAAUAGCCAAACUGUGGAACCAACCUAGAUGCCCUUCAGUAGAUGAAUGGACAAGGAAACCGUGGCAUAUAUACACAAUGGAAUAUUACUCAGCAUUAAAAGAGAAUAAAAUCAUGGCAUUUUCAGGUAAAUGGAUGGAGUUGGAGAAGAUCAUGCUAAGAGAACUUAGCCAAUCCCAAAAUACUAAAGGCCGAAUGUUCUCUCUGAAAAGUGAAUGGUGAUCCAUAACGGGGGGCGGGGGCAGGGAAGAUGGUGGAAUGAGAUGGAUAUGAUUGUCCUGGGUACAUGUAUGACUGCACUUGUGGUGUGAUGCUACAUCAUGCACAACGGGAGAAAUGAAAAGUUGUGCUGCAAUUGUGUACAAAGAAUCAAAAUGCAUUCUGCUGUCAUAUGUACCUAAUUAAAAUAAAUUAAUUAGUCAAUUAAAAAAAUUGCCUGUGGCAAUCGUGGCAGUGGAAAAAAGGUCUCCAAAGAUGUCCACGUCCUACUUCUAGAACCUGGGAAUGUGUUAGCCUACGUGGCAAAAGGGACUUUGAAGAGGUGACCAAAUCAAGAAUCUUUUUUUUUUUGGUACCAAGGGUUGAAACCAGGGUCCCCUUACCACCGAGCCACAUCCCCAGCUCUUUUUAUUUUUUGUUUUGAGACAGGGUCUCACUAAGGUGCUUAGGGCCUCUCUAAGUUGCUGAGGCUGUCCUCAAAGUUUUCACCAGCUUCCAAUAGCACCGCCCUGCGGAGAGAGAUCAGGACUUGUCACAAUGGACAUCUGAAGGACACUCAGACCACCCGUGUCAUCCCCCUGCCUCAGACUCCCAGACCGCUGGGAUUACAGGGGGCACCACUGCAUCCAACCCAAUCAAGGAUCUUGAGAUGAGGAGAUGAUUCUAGAUGCACCAGGGAGGCCCCCUGCGGUUUUAGGUUUCUGACAGUGAGAUGGGAAGCAGGAGGGUGGUCAGAGAAGGAGGUGUGACUAAGGUCACUCUGGCUGGAUGAUGUCAUCGCUGGCUUUGGAGAUGGAAAGAAGCCAUGGAGAAGCUGGAAAGGCAAGGAACAGCUUCUCCCCUUGAAAACUCAGAAGGAACACAGCCCUGCAGUCACCUUGAGUUUUGCCCCUUGAGACCCAUUUCAGACUUCUGACUUCCAGAACUUCUAGAUAAUAAAUGAGUGCUGUGUUUCUUGGCAAUUUAUUACAGCAGCAAGAGGAAGUUAAAACGGUGUGUAUUUUAUAAUCAUAAAAGAAAAAGCUGUUUGCUAGGAAAAAAAAAAAGAGCUAUAGGUAAUUGUAUUAGUUAGUGACGUGUUACUAUAACAAAACACCCGAGGCAGCUAACUUAGUAAGAAAGGAGGAUUAUUUAGCUCAGUUUUGGAAGCUGCAAGGGCACGGUGUCUGAAUCCGCUCAGUUGUGGUGGGGACCUCAUGGUGAAUGGUGGAUGGCAAUGUCAAGAUAACGGGUCACAUCUCUAACAGGAAGCAGAGAGGCUGCAUGCAGGGAGCUCCACCUUGUAUAACUAGCCUCCUGUGAGAACUACCAAGGAGUCUUAUGAGAAGGGCCAUGCCACCUGGGACCUGAGGACCUCUGACCAGGUGCCACCUCCAAGGUUUUCACCAGCUUCUAGUAGACCGCCCUGCAGAGAGAGAUCAGGACUUCAGUCACCAUGGACAUCUGAAGGACACACCGGCCAGUUAGCCUCAUCCCUCCCUGGAGCUCUGCCCGCUGCCAGUGCAGACAGGAGCAGUCCAGACCCAAGGAACAGCCUGGCCCAGGGUCUUAGAAACAAUGGAGUGAACUUUAUAAAACAUCUAUUAAGUCGACAGCUGGAGAGUUUAAAGACCCUGAACUGAGAAGUCUCGUUGUUCUUGAGACGUCUACACGUUUCUCAUUUGAUUUUAUUGUUUUAAAAAACUGUCAGUUACAUAAAAAUAGUUGUAAAAAAUUAAAUU